GACGAACGCUGGCGGCGUGCUUAACACAUGCAAGUCGAACGGAAAGGCCCUGCUUUUGUGGGGUGCUCGAGUGGCGAACGGGUGAGUAACACGUGAGUAACCUGCCCUUGACUUUGGGAUAACUUCAGGAAACUGGGGCUAAUACCGGAUAGGAGCUCCUGCUGCAUGGUGGGGGUUGGAAAGUUUCGGCGGUUGGGGAUGGACUCGCGGCUUAUCAGCUUGUUGGUGGGGUAGUGGCUUACCAAGGCUUUGACGGGUAGCCGGCCUGAGAGGGUGACCGGCCACAUUGGGACUGAGGUACGGCCCAGACUCCUACGGGAGGCAGCAGUGGGGAAUAUUGCACAAUGGGCGGAAGCCUGAUGCAGCAACGCCGCGUGCGGGAUGACGGCCUGCGGGUUGUAAACCGCUUUAGCCUGUGACGAAGCGUGAGUGACGGUAAUGGGUAAAGAAGCACCGGCUAACUACGUG
rnacentral:rRNA from 1 species